GGAGGAAAAGAAACCAACAGGGAUUGCCUCAGAAGCGGCGAGUGAAGCGGCAAAAGCUCAAAUUUGAAAUCGGGCGUCUUUGGCGUCCGAGUUGUAAUUUGAAGAAGGUAUCUUUGGGCCCGGCUCUUGUCUAUGUUCCUUGGAACAGGACGUCACAGAGGGUGAGAAUCCCGUGCGAUGAGAUGACCCGGGUCUGUGUAAAGUUCCUUCGACGAGUCGAGUUGUUUGGGAAUGCAGCUCUAAGUGGGUGGUAAAUUCCAUCUAAAGCUAAAUAUUGGCGAGAGACCGAUAGCGAACAAGUACAGUGAUGGAAAGAUGAAAAGAACUUUGAAAAGAGAGUGAAAAAGUACGUGAAAUUGUUGAAAGGGAAGGGCUUGAGAUCAGACUUGGUAUUUUGCAUGCUGCUCUCUCGGGGGCGGCCGCUGCGGUUUACCGGGCCAGCAUCGGUUUGGAGCGGCAGGAUAAUGGCGGAGGAAUGUGGCACGGCUUCUGCUGUGUGUUAUAGCCUCUGACGAUACUGCCAGCCUAGACCGAGGACUGCGGUUUACCUAGGA
rnacentral:rRNA from 1 species